rnacentral:rRNA from 1 species
CCUACGGGGGGCAGCAGUGAGGAAUAUUGGUCAAUGGGCGCGAGCCUGAACCAGCCAAGUAGCGUGAAGGAUGACUGCCCUAUGGGUUGAAAACUUCUUUUAUAUGGGAAUAAAAUGGUGCACGUGUGUGUUUUUGCAUGUACUUUAUGAAUAAGGAUCGGCUAACUCCGUGCCAGCAGCCGAGGUAAUACGAAGGAUCCGAGCGUUAUCCGGAUUUAUUGGGUUUAAAGGGAGGGGAGAUGGGUUGUUAAGUCAGUUGUGAAAGUUUGCGGCUCAACCGUAAAAUUGCAGUUGAACCUGGGAGCCUUGAGUACAGUAGAGGACGGCGGAAUUCGUGGUGUAGCGGUGAAAUGCGUAGAUAUCAGGAAGAACUCCAGUUGCGAAGGCGACUGACUAGUCUGCCACUGACAUUGAUGCUCGAAAGUGUGGGUAGCGAACAGGAUUAGAUACCCUAGUAGUC